rnacentral:rRNA from 1 species
AAGUCGAACGAGAUCUUCGGAUCUAGUGGCGCACGGGUGCGUAACGCGUGGGAAUCUGCCCUUGGGUUCGGAAUAACGUCGGGAAACUGACGCUAAUACCGGAUGAUGACGAAAGUCCAAAGAUUUAUCGCCCAGGGAUGAGCCCGCGUAGGAUUAGCUAGUUGGUGGGGUAAAGGCUCACCAAGGCUACGAUCCUUAGCUGGUCUGAGAGGAUGAUCAGCCACACUGGGACUGAGACACGGCCCAGACUCCUACGGGAGGCAGCAGUAGGGAAUAUUGGACAAUGGGGGCAACCCUGAUCCAGCAAUGCCGCGUGAGUGAUGAAGGCCUUAGGGUUGUAAAGCUCUUUUACCCGAGAUGAUAAUGACAGUAUCGGGAGAAUAAGCUCCGGCUAACUCCGUGCCAGCAGCCGCGGUAAUACGGAGGGAGCUAGCGUUGUUCGGAAUUACUGGGCGUAAAGCGCACGUAGGCGGCGAUUUAAGUCAGAGGUGAAAGCCCGGGGCUCAACCCCGGAACUGCCUUUGAGACUGGAUUGCUAGAAUCUUGGAGAGGCGGGUGGAAUUCCGAGUGUAGAGGUGAAAUUCGUAGAUAUUCGGAAGAACACCAGUGGCGAAGGCGGCCCGCUGGAC